AGAGAUUCUGCUAACAUUAUAUGGGUGAUGCUGGUGCUGAGUAUGUUGUGGAGUCUACUGGCAUCUUCACUAUGAUGAAGAAGGCUGGGUCUCACUUGAAGGGUGGAGCCAAAAAGAUCAUAAUCUUUGCCCCUUCUGCUGAUGCCCCCAUGUUUGUGAUGGGUGUGAACCACUAGAAAUAUGACAACUCACUCAAGAUUGUCAGCAAUGCAUCCUGUACCACCAACUGCUUAGGCCCCUGGCCAAGGUCAUGCAACUUUGGCAUUGUGGAAAGGUUCAUGACAAUGGUCCAUGCUCACUGCCACUCAGAAGACUGUGGAUGGCCCCUCUGGAAAGCUGUGGCAGGAUGGCUGUGGGGCUGCCCAGAACAUCAUCCCUACAUCCACUGGUGCUACCAAAGCUGUAAGCAAGGUCAUCCCAGAGCUGAACAGGAAGCUCCCUGGCAUGGACUUCCAUGUUCCUACCCCCAAUGUAUCUGUUGUGGAUCUUACAUUCUGCCUGGAGAAACCUGCCAAGUAUGAUGACAUCAAGAAGUUGGUUAAGCAAGCAUCUGCGUGCCCACUGUAGGGCAUCCUGGGCUACCCUGAGGACCAGGUUGUCUCCUGUGACUUCAACAGCAACUCCCACCCUUCCACCUUUGAUGCUGGGGCUGGCACUGCUCUCAAUGACAACUUUGUAAAGCUCAUUUCCUGGUAUGACAAUGAAUAUGUCUACAGCAACAGGGUGGUAGAGCUCAUGGCCUCCAAGGAGUAA
rnacentral:lncRNA from 1 species